rnacentral:rRNA from 1 species
GACGAACGCUGGCGGCGUGCUUAACACAUGCAAGUCGAACGGAAAGGCCCUGCGCUUGUGGGGUGCUCGAUUGGCGAACGGGGGAGUAACACGUGAGUAACCUGCCCUUGACUUUGGGAUAACUUCAGGAAACUGGGGCGAAUACCGGAUAGGAGCUCCUGCUGCAUGUUGGGGGUUGGAAAGUGUCGGCGGUUGGGGAUGGACUCGAGGCUUAUGAGCUUGUUGGUGGGGUAGUGGCUUACCAAGGCUUUGACGGGUAGCCGGCCUGAGAGGGUGACCGGCCACAUUGGGACUGCGAUACGGCCCAGAAUCCUACGGGCGGCAGCAGUGGGGAAUAUUGCACAAUGGGCGGAAGCCUGAUGCAGCAACGCCGCGUGCGGGAUGACGGCCUUCGGGUUGUAAACCGCUUUCGACUGUGACGAAGCGUGAGUGACGGUAAUGGGUAAAGAAGCACCGGCUAACUACGUG